rnacentral:rRNA from 1 species
AUGAGAGAUGAAGUGGUCAGGGGUGUGCUAAGUUUCUUCGAGGGUGGGGCUCUACCGAAAGGUAUUAAUGAUACAGUAAUUGUGCUAAUCCCGAAAGGCAAAGACCCACGGACACUAAAAGAUUAUCGACCCAUCAGCCUCUGUAACGUCAUUUACAAAGUGAUUUCGAAGUGCCUCGUCAACCAUCUACGUCCUUUGUUGGACGGAAUUAUAUCGGAGACUCAAAGUGCAUUUAUUCCGGGCCGCAUGAUUACAGACAAU